rnacentral:rRNA from 1 species
CUGGCGGCGUGCCUAACACAUGCAAGUCGAACGGGGUUAAUUCCUUCGGGGGAUUAACUUAGUGGCGAACGGGUGAGUAACGCGUGAGAAACCUGCCUUUCAGUGGGGGACAACAGUUGGAAACGACUGCUAAUACCGCAUAACAUAUACCGGGGGGCAUCCCUGAUAUAUCAAAGCUUUAUGUGCUGAAAGAUGGUCUCGCGUCUGAUUAGCUAGAUGGCGGGGUAACGGCCCACCAUGGCGACGAUCAGUAGCCGGUCUGAGAGGAUGAACGGCCACAUUGGGACUGAGACACGGCCCAAACUCCUACGGGAGGCAGCAGUGGGGGAUAUUGCACAAUGGAGGAAACUCUGAUGCAGCAACGCCGCGUGAGGGAAGACGGUCUUCGGAUUGUAAACCUAAGUUAUCAGGGACGAUUAUGACGGUACCUGAAGAGAAAGCUCCGGCUAACUACGUG